CUGAGGACCAUCUCACUGGAACUCAGGUAAGGGCUAAUUCAUUGUGGAAUUACAAAAUGUUGUUAACUGCAGUGACUAAUUUUGUGUUUGUGUGUAUUAAGGUCGAUGAGGCCGUACGAUGAGCUGCUGCCCACCGCAUCUCACGAUGACCCUUCACCUUUCGUUCUGAUAAGCAAACUAUUCAUUUAUUUACUAAACCCAAUCACUGCAGUUUACAAGGUUGUGGGGUGGUUUUUGGUUAAGGAAAGCGACAGAACGUUAGACGUGUUAGUAUGAAACUGCCAUGAGAAGAAGCACUUAUGAUCUUUAUGCUCUACUUUUUACAGCCUCUCACCGCUGGAAUACUGGACCUCGCCUGGAAGAACAUUCAGUUCCUCCCUGCUGACUACUUCUGCUCCCAGUCUUGGGUAUUGUACAGAGCUGCAGCUGAGAUACAAACACCAUUAGUUACAAGUUCUAAUGUUUAGUUUUGUUUUUGUAUUUCUAGUCAGUGGAAAUGAAGACCUACUUCCUCAGGAUGAUAAGGGGUCCGGAGAGUGUGGUCUGCUGGUUUAAUACCACCAAGACCUGCUUCUUGAACCACAUGGGAAUCCCUUAUGAUGCCUGUGUUGAGGACUCUUUCACUGGCAUUAAGAGCGUAUCUGGGAGGGUUACAGAAUACAUCUGCUGUAACCUCAUGGAAUCAUCCGUCAUUGUGGCACUGCAGGAUUUUGUGG